UACGUGGGGGGCAAGCGUUGUUCGGAAUUACUGGGCGUAAAGGGCUCGUAGGCGGCCAACUAAGUCGGACGUGAAAUCCCUCGGCUCAACCGGGGAACUGCGUCCGAUACUGGAUGGCUUGAAUCCGGGAGAGGGAUGCGGAAUUCCAGGUGUAGCGGUGAAAUGCGUAGAUAUCUGGAGGAACACCGGUGGCGAAGGCGGCAUCCUGGACCGGCAUUGACGCUGAGGAGCGAAAGCCAGGGGAGCAAACGGG
rnacentral:rRNA from 1 species